AGCAGCCGCGGUAAUUCCAGCUCCAAUAGCGUAUAUUAAAGUUGUUGCAGUUAAAAAGCUCGUAGUUGAAUUUCGGGGUCAGUAGGUUGGUCGUGCCACUGGUAUGUACUGGCUUCACUGAUUCCUCCCUCUUGUAGAACCGUAAUGCCAUUAAUUUGGUGUUGCGGGGAAACAGGACUGUUACUUUGAAAAAUUAGAGUGUUUAAAGCAGGCUAACGCUUGAAUACAUUAGCAUGGAAUAAUGAAAUAGGACGUUUGAUCCUAUUUUGUGGUUUCUAGGAUUGACGUAAUGAUUAAUAGGGAUAGUUGGGGGCAUUAGUAUUCAAUUGUCAGAGGUGAAAUUCUUGGAUUUAUUGAAGACUAACUACUGCGAAAGCAUUUGCCAAGGAUGUUUUCAUUAAUCAAGAACGAAAGUUAGGGGAUCGAAGACGAUCAGAUACCGUCGUAGUCUUAACCAUAAACUAUGCCGACUAGGGAUCGGAUGAUGUUAAUUUUAAUGACUCAUUCGCGCUUACGGGAA
rnacentral:rRNA from 1 species